UACGAAGGGGGCUAGCGUUGCUCGGAAUCACUGGGCGUAAAGGGUGCGUAGGCGGGUUCUUAAGUCAGAGGUGAAAUCCUGGAGCUCAACUCCAGAACUGCCUUUGAUACUGAGAGUCUUGAGUUCGGGAGAGGUGAGUGGAACUGCGAGUGUAGGGGUGAAAUUCGUAGAUAUUCGCAAGAACACCAGUGGCGAAGGCGGCUCACUGGCCCGAUACUGACGCUGAGGCACGAAAGCGUGGGGAGCAAACAGG
rnacentral:rRNA from 1 species